rnacentral:rRNA from 1 species
CAAUAGCGUAUAUUAAAGUUGUUGCAGUUAAAAAGCUCGUAGUUGGAUUUCUGGUCGGAAGCUCCUGUCCUCUGAUGAGCGUGCAAGUGCGUCCUACCAUCCUUCUGUUAACCUUUAAGGCUUUCGCGGCUUUCUAGGGGCUCAGAUAUUUUACCUUGAGAAAAUUAGAGUGUUUCAGGCAGGCUAGCGCCGGAAUACAUUAGCAUGGAAUAAUGGAAUAGGACUUUUGCCUCUUCUGUUGGUCAUGAGGCUCGAGUAAUGAUUAAUAGGGAUAGUUGGGGGCAUUAGUACUUAACUGUCAGAGGUGAAAUUCUCGGAUUUGUUAAAGACUAACUUAUGCGAAAGCAUUUGCCAAGGAUGUUUUCAUUAA